AGUAAAACUUGAAAGAUGAGAAUGAAAACAACAGAGAUAAAGAAAUGGAAUAAGAAUGAAUGGAAAAAGAAAAGAACAGAAAAGGUCAAGGAAGAGAACAUUAUACAUUUAUUACUGAGCCACCCUAUGAAAUCCAAAAGACUGGGAAUAGGGGUCAGAGACGAAGAAAAAUAAUAAUAAUUUGCACUACUUAGUAAAGCAUUACUAGUAAUAGCUCUCAUUUAAAAAUUGUACAAAUGUUUGUUAAAAUUUUUAUAAUCAAGCCUUCAAAUGAUUUUGGUUACAGAUAUUAUACAUAUGAAACUACAACAUGUUAAAUGAUACAAUUGUAUUUUUAAUGGUAAGAAUUAAAACAACCAAUAAACAAAUGCAAGAGAAUUCAUAAGCUCUCUUAUUGGUGUUGCAAAAGAAUAAGGGGAAAAAAACAUAAAUAGUAAAACUGAGGUAACUGCUAUUGUACCAAGCAGGGAAAAAUCAAACUUCUAUAACACAGAAUGACAAUGUAAGCAAGUAAGGUAAUGCACAUUUGUUGUUUGCAAAGAAUAAAGAAUUCAUAAUUUUCUGGUCAUGAAUUCGACUUAUGACACUAAAGCGGACAACACUGGAGAAUGGUUUAAAGGCAUCUCUCAUUAAGACACUGCAGGCUCUGAGACUACAUCACAAUUCAUAUGACACUUUCUACACCAGUCAUAGAGCCAACAUAAUGUGACACAGAGGCAGUUAUAUCCAUUCAUAACAAUAACAAUGCAUGACAGAAAACGAUCAUACACACACAAACACCCCUCUAGGUCAUAACGCAUCUCAGGUGUUCAUUAUAAAGUAACGCACAUGGCUAUGAAUGGUUAUAACAGCCUUAUGGAGGCUGUAUGAGUGGGUGCACUGGAAGGUACUUAAAACGCCGCAUUUCACAAGGGGUUUGUGUGUUGCCCUCCAUUUUGUCCUGCAGAAUCUGUGCAUUUCCCUUUUUACAGAAACAGAAAUGCUACGAUAUAAUCGGUACUCUUUGAACAGGCAUUGUACAUGCACAUAUCCAAGAGAGAGUCCUUGAUUUCUAAAUUUGAAGGCAUAUGAAAUCAAAUAAUGACCUAAAUU
ensembl:lncRNA